UAGAGUUGGGCUAUUUGAAUAUUUAUUAUGAUAAUCUUUUGGCUAAUGGUAACAGCAUAUCUUGUUCUAACAAAAUUACUGUUAACAGCAAUUAACCAGCAGGUAGAAAAACACAUCUUGUUCUAAUGAAGUAAAUAUACCUCAUUCGAUUUCAAAUUGGGGGAAAGUCAAUAAUAGUGACACCUUGUUGGUUUAUAAGUAUGUAACAUGACCUGUUCUUCUCAACAAGGAAUUGCUUUUCUGACUUCUGCACUCAGAAGGUAUCUUUAAAAAAUAAUUUCCCAUUAGUAUUAGUGCACAUUGGGUAUGUUUGGCAGGGUUUUGUUUGUGUUUUUGUUUUUGUUUUUUUCUGAGACAGGGUCUCACUCUGUCAUCCAGGUUGUGAUCAUGAUCACAGCUCACUACAGCCUUGACUCCCAGGCUCAAGCGAGCCUCCCAUCUCAGUCUCCCAAGUAGCUGGGGUUACAGGUGUGCACCAAAACACCCAGCUAAUUUUGUAUUUGUUUUUGUAGAGAUGUGGUCUCACUAUGUCACCCAGGCUGGUCUGGAACUUCUGGACAGAAGCGAUCCUCCCACCUAGGCCUCCCAACUUGCUGGGACUACAGGUGUGGGCAGCACACCUGGCCAUUUCACAGUUCUUAUUGCCAUUUGUUUAUGGUGCCAGAAAGGUAUUGCUGAGUUUCCAGUUUUGAAACUAAUUUCUUUUUUUCAGUGACACAAAUCACUAUGUAAUAUAGUUAGCCUUUGAACAACACGGAUUUGAACUGCAGGGGUCUACUUAUGAGCAGAUUUUCUCCCACCUCUACCACCUGAGACAGCGAAGACCAAUCUUCCUCUUCCUCCUUCUCCUUAGCCUGCUCAACUUGAAGACUAUGAUGAAGAGUUAUAUAAUGAUCUACUUGCAUUUAAUGAACAAUAGUUUCCCUUGCAAAGUUAUCAAAGUGCUCCCCAGAAGACAUUAGGUAUUUGCUUUCUAGUCUACAUACAAUGAAAAGGAAAAAACGUCAGUUCCUGAAGCUCUCUCAAAACAUCAACAGAUGGAAAGACGUGCCCAUGUCCUCCCCUCCCUCCACUCUGGGGGCUUGGAAAUGCUGCAGCAGGGAGCAGGCCCCAGGCUGGACCUGCCCUGUCCUCACGACGAGUGUGUGCAAAAGUGAACAAUAAAUCAUUUCAAAGAUGCAAGGAAGAAAAACCAAAACAUCAACAGAAUCUUCUUUCCCAUAAUCUUCAUGCACCUCCUGGUCCGGAUGAGUUUAUGUUCCCAUCUCCGAGCACAGGGAUUGAUUGUGAUGGCAUUUAUAGGACUGAGUGCCCCACACUCUGUGAUCCAGCAUGGAGUUAUGAUUUACAUCACCACAGGAAGAGUACAGAGGCUUCAACAGAAAAAAAGCAAAAACAACAGACCUUCAUUCAGCUUAGGAACAUAAUAAAUAGGACGAAGUUGAAUAAACGAAAUGGAGGGGAGUGAAGUAUUCCAGAUGGAAGAGGCAGUACGUGGCCAAGAGGAAACAGACCAUGUGCGCUGGAGAAAAAGGAUGGCCAGACUUGCAGAAACCUGGAAUUGGUGAUUGGCUUUAGAAGUGGAGAGACAAAAAAGGAGGCAUAGAAAGUGCCAACAUUUGGCUACACAGGGAAGAAAGACGUAAAAUAAUAAAAACAUUGGCAUCACCUGUAGACUCAAAUCCUGUGAGUGAAGGACCUGAGCAAUGAAGGAUGGAUUGAACUCGUGAUUAGCCUUCUUCAGCAUAUGUAAAAUGAUGUCUGCUUUUCUUCUCUAUUUGUCAUUUUACCGACUUUUUAUAUAUAGUAGUUUCCCCAUAUCCAUGGAGGAUGUAUCCCAAGACCCCCAGAGGAUGCUUGAAACCACAGAUAAUAACAAACUCUAUGUAUCCUAUGAUUUUUCCUGUACAUCCUUACCUAUCAUAAAGUGAGUGUAUAAACUAGGCACAGGAGAUUAAAAACAAUAACUCAUAAUAAAAUAGAACAAUUAGUACAACCUAAUGAAAGUUAUCUGAAUGUGAUCUCUCUCAAAAUAUCUUAUUGUAGUGUACCAUGGGUAACUGAAAUGAUAGAAAACAAAAUUGCUGAUAAAGGGGGAUAUUGUAGUAAAAUAAAGGGGGAUGGGUAGAGCGUAGGAAGCAUUCACAAUUAGAACAGUUGGCAGUAGGGAAAGAAACAUACUUUAAAUUGGAAUGUGGAUCACAUGGCUGCCUCCUGCCAGUCAUGAUCGCAGGGUACAGAGGCCUCUGGUAUGUCAGGUCUUCUCUCCCACCACUAAUACUGCCCAAAAGACUCCAUCAGCAACCAGAGCUGAAUCACACACAACCCAGAUUGUCAUUUCUGAUGACUUUGACUUAAACAAACAGACAUAUUUUUAAUCUUUUUAGUGUGUGUGAAACUAGCAAGGCCUAAUGAAUUGAGUAUAUGGAUGAGGUUUGUGGCCUCUGUAACGUUUUCUCCAACCAGAACCUACUGAAAUAGCACAGAUGGUGAUGAGUAUGGUUCAAACACAAGAAUUCUUGGGUAAGUGACAAGAAUCUCGGUCUCCUGCCAUUUCCAUCUCUGCAUUUACUUACUGUGUGAAUUUGGACGAGUCAUGUAAUCUUCUGGCUUCAGUGUGUUUAUCUCUGUAAUUAAUAUGUUCAGUAACAGUUCUUCCCUCUGACCUAAAAAUAACCACUUCUUCCAAAGGUAUAUAUUAGAACUAUAUACAUAUAUACUAUACAAAUAUCUAACAUUUAUAUACUUAAUAUAUGUAAUAAACAUACUACACAUGUAAAUUUAAUGAUCUACCCUAUUCUCAGCCUCUACUUUCCUCUGACAAUGACAUCAUUCAAAUACUCUAAAAAGCUCAUAUUAUAGAAUCUUUAUAUUUAAAAAAGUUUUGUAAUGCUCUAAACUUAAUUGCAUAUUGCUAAGUGAAAGAGGCCAGUCUGAAAAAGCUAUGCACUGUAUGAUUCCAACUAUAUGACAUUCUGGAAAAGCCAAAACUAUAGAGACAAUAAAAGUAUCAAAGGCCUUUAGGGGGUUCAGGGAAAUGGGUGAGGAAUUAAAUAAAUGGAGUACAGCACACUUUUAGGGCAGCGAAACUAUUGUGUAUGGUACUCUAACAGUGGAUAUGUAACAUUACACUUUUAUCAAAACCUAUAAGCCCCAAACAGAAUGUUGUAAAUGUAAACUCUGGACUUCAUUUAUUUGUAGAGACAGGACUUUAGUUAAAAGUCCAUAUUGGUUUAUUAAUGGUAGCAAAUAUACCACACGAACGCCAGAUGCUAGUAAGAGCAGAAACUGUGUUGGGAGGAGGGAAGAUGUAUGGGAACUGGACUUUCUGUGCAGUUUCUCUCGGUAAACCUAAAACUGCUCUAAAAUUUUUCUAUUGAAUUUUUCAAUUAUUCCAGUUAUUCUCUAUAAAUUAGCAUACCUAUUGGCCCCCAAUUACCUUGCUAAUUUUAGGUUACUUAUUUUUAUAUGGUUCUCGAUUU
rnacentral:lncRNA from 10 species